rnacentral:tRNA from 1 species
GACCGCUUGGCGCAAUGGUAGCGCGUUCGACUCCAGAUCGAAAGGUUGGCGUUCGAUCCGCUCAGUGGUCA